GACGAACGCUGGCGGCGUGCUUAACACAUGCAAGUCGAACGGAAAGGCCCUGCUUAUGUGGGGUGCUCGAGUGGCGAACGGGUGAGUAACACGCGAGUAACCUGCCCUUGACUUUGGGAUAACUUCAGGAAACUGGGGCUAAUACCGGAUAGGAGCUCCUGCUGCAUGGUGGGGGUCGGAAAGUUUCGGCGGUUGGGGAUGGACUCGCGGCUUAUCAGCUUGUUGGUGGGGUAGUGGCUUACCAAGGCUUUGACGGGUAGCCGGCCUGAGAGGGUGACCGGCCACGUUGGGACUGGGAUGCAGCCCAGACUCCUACGGGAGGCAGCAGUGGGGAAUAUUGCACAAUGGGCGGAAGCCUGAUGCAGCAACGCAGCUUGCGGGAUGACGGCCUUCGGGUUGUAAACCGCUUUCGCCUGUGACGAAGCGUGAGUGGGGGUAAUGUGUAGAGAAGCACGAGCUAACUACGUG
rnacentral:rRNA from 1 species